rnacentral:lncRNA from 1 species
CUUGCUCGCUGAUGCUGCCACGUAAGAAGUGUGUUGCUUCCCCUUCGUCUUCCACCAUGAAUAACAGAAUGGCAAUUUUCGUGUGGUGUUAAUUUCCGUGGAAGAAGAAAAGGCUCGACUCUCUGUCCUAUUUUUCAUGAAUACUGGAAGUAGGGAAUAAACCUGGAGUCUCACGGGUGAAAAGAGACAUUUCCAUAUCACCAGACCACAAACGUGGGUGUUGAUUCUAAGGAUACCCCCAAUAAACAUCUUUCGUGCUAAAGCCCAUUCCAGAAUUUACUUCCCAGCUAUCUUUGAUGUUCAUAUUGUCAGAGGUGGUGGCCGCUGAAACAGGCAAAGACAUGGAGCAUAUCUUGGGUCCAGGUAAAGGAGGUGGGUGCACACAAGUGAAAAGAUGUUGCUGAAGUCACGUGGCUUCAAGCAGUAGAGCUGACUGUCCUCUAGUCCAGUUGUCCCUACAGGAUAAAAGCUUCUCUCCAUUACAGAGACCUUGGGAGUCCAGAGGAAGGUCUUUUUACCAUCAGCAUUCUCUACUGUGUUCAAUGACUGUCAGCCAAAGAUGGCCAGGUUCUCUACUGUGAUGGUGAAUUUUAUGUGUCAAUUUGACUGGACCAUGGGAUGCCCAGCUUUCCUUCAGAAAGAAAUGCAUUCAAAGAACCUACAUUCACAACAUAAAGAAAUAAAGCCUGCACCUACAGAUCUACACACAUGCCCAUGCACAUGCAGGAAGUGUUCAUCUAAGACUGGACCUUUUAGAAGAAAGCUGGCAUACAUUCGUGAAGGCAUGGGCUUCCAGGCAUGUCAUCUUCACUCACGAAGCACACACAAGACCGCCAAGCAUUAAGAUUCUCCUGUGGAGCCAGGCUACAAUCCUUUAAAUGAAGACAGACAGCUAGGUGGCUGCAGCCCAGCGCUACACCUCACCCCUCCCUCAGUGUCAUGCAGAAAAAAUGUAUUCAGAACUCAGAAGUGAAGUUGUGCAAAUCCAUCAUUGACACUAGCUUCAAGGUUACCUCGGGGGAGCAGAAUGUACCCCUGCCAGAGAGCUGGAUAGAUGAUGAUGGGGACAGAAAUUCUGGGGGAGUUGUAAAUGGCAGCCACUGCCUCUAUAGGAAACCCAAAGGGAACACAGCAGAAGAGGAGGUGGUGGAGGAGCCACUGCCCUCUCGAAGGGUUCAAUGUCAUUCUGCAGACACAACCAAAUAACUUUUUCUUCCCUGCUGCUCCUCCAUUUGAAAUGACAGCCCCGAGCUCGCUUUUUCCUUGAUUGUGUAACUCUGAUUACAGACAAGGCCAAGGCAAUCCCAGGGCAUUACUACAAAGCUAAGGGGUCCCCAAAGAACUAAAGAGUCAGCUCCACAAAAAUCCCGAUUCCUAGCAUGAAACUGAAAUAUGAAACCAAACGGGCAUAGAAAAGGUAUGUGCAUUCGAAUCACAUAGCAGUGACUGGAGUCCUGAGCUGUGUCUGAAGACUGUGAGAUCACGUUUGGAGCUGCUGAUUGGUUUUCAGUGAUGGCCCUGUUGCACAGUGCCGUGAGACUUAGCUCCAUGGCCAAAGACGAUGGUAUCCCCUAGGAGCCCUGUGAGGUUGCUGCUGUUCUCUUAAGACACCAGGUAGCCAUCUGAUCCUCCCUGAGCAAACUAACUGGGCAGACAGGUUUAUUAAACCUCUGUUGGUCCGACUUACAUGAAACAAGAGAGUUAUUUUGUUGUUGUUGUUUUGUUUUGUUUUAAAUUAAACCUGUCUUUGGAGCCUCCUGAAAAAAAAAAAAAAAA